CGUAAGUCGCAUAGGUCGUAAGUCGACGACUAAGUGUAUAAGAUUAUGCUAUUUUGAGACUCGUAUCUGGUGCCUGCUUGUAUACUGCGGACUUGUAUAUUGAUAUUUUAAAUCUUCACAAAAAUCCUGAAUUCUGGCCAAAACCAGACAGAGUUUUGCCGGAGCUGGUAUAAGAUCGUCAUCCUUUCGCUUAUGUAGCGCUGGUUCACGGAAUUGCAUAGGUCAAUAAUUCGUCAUGAUGGAGCUGAAAAUUGUAAUUGGUACUUUGCUACAACUUUUACUUGGAGCCCUCACUUGAAAGACGUCCGAUGUUUUAUCGAUAUAGUCAUUCGCCUUCGACAAUCGAUGCGCGUAAAAUUCGUCUCAAUCGAAGAUGUUCAAUUAGUAUAACGGAAUGCGAAUUAUACGUGAAAACCUGAUGAUAAGAAAUGACGAAUUUAUUAAACGAGCAUUAUUGUAUUACUUCAGUAGUAUCACAAGAUAGAUAUUGCACAAUAUUAGUCGUAACUUAUGGUUUACUUACUGAUUUAGGAAAAUCUUUUUGUUUGCUUUAAGCUUGUAAGUCAGACAUUUCUUCGAGUAGUGCAGAGAGUGCUGUGUCGAGAAGUGUAGCUUAGAGCAGCCCAUACAGCAAAGAAUAUGCUAAGAAUGUGUUAAAAUAUGUUAUAAAUAUUCUAAUAUUCGAUGGGUCAUUGAGAAUAUUCUAUAGACGUUCUAUGAAUAUUCCAUGGAAUUUUGUUCAUUCAGAAUAUGCAUAUAAUAUUCUAUAAAUAUUCCAAUAAAUAUAGUAUAUAUCGCAAUUGCCUGGAAUGUUCUAUAAAUAUUUUGACAAAUACAGAAUAUUUCGAAAUAUUUGAAAUAUUCAUAGAACAUAUUGUAAAUAUUCUUAAAGUAUUUAUAGUAUGUGCUAUGAAUAUUCUGAAAAAUUUUAUAUAACUUGCUAUAAAUAUUUCGAUAAUAUUCUAUGAUACAUUUCGAUUCACAUGGAAUAUUCAGAAUAUGAUUAUAAUAUUCUCUAGAUAUUAGUAGAACGUUCUUAGAAUGUUCUAUAAACAUUUUAGGAAAACAUUGAAAACAUUUUGAUUAUUUCAGGAAUAUUUAAAGAAUAUUCUUGAAACAUUCUAUGAAUAUUCUGGAAACAUUAAUAAACACUUUUUAAAAA